GACGAACGCUGGCGGCGUGCUUAACACAUGCAAGUCGAACGGAAAGGCCCUGCUUUUGUGGGGUGCUCGAGUGGCGAACGGGUGAGUAACACGUGAGUAACCUGCCCUUGACUUUGGGAUAACUUCAGGAAACUGGGGCUAAUACCGGAUAGGAGCUCCUGCUGCAUGGUGGGGGUUGGAAAGUUUCGGCGGUUGGGGAUGGACUCGCGGCUUAUCAGCUUGUUGGUGGGGUAGUGGCUUACCAAGGCUUUGACGGGUAGCCGGCCUGAGAGGGUGACCGGCCACAUGGGGACUGAGAUACGGCCCAGACUCCUACGGGAGGCAGCAGUGGGGAAUAUUGCACAAGGGGCGGAAGCCUGAUGCAGCAACGCCGCGUGCGGGAUGACGGCCUUCGGGUUGUAAACCGCUUUCGCCUGUGACGAAGCGUGAGUGACGGGAAUGGGGAAAGAAGCACCGGCUAACUACGU
rnacentral:rRNA from 1 species